CAGGUGCGAAAGCAGGUCAUAGUGAUCCGGUGGUUCUGAAUGGAAGGGCCAUCGCUCAACGGAUAAAAGGUACUCCGGGGAUAACAGGCUGAUACCGCCCAAGAGUUCAUAUCGACGGCGGUGUUUGGCACCUCGAUGUCGGCUCAUCACAUCCUGGGGCUGAAGUAGGUCCCAAGGGUAUGGCUGUUCGCCAUUUAAAGUGGUACGCGAGCUGGGUUUAGAACGUCGUGAGACAGUUCGGUCCCUAUCUGCCGUGGGCGCUGGAGAACUGAGGGGGGCUGCUCCUAGUACGAGAGGACCGGAGUGGACGCAUCACUGGUGUUCGGGUUGUCAUGCCAAUGGCACUGCCCGGUAGCUAAAUGCGGAAGAGAUAAGUGCUGAAAGCAUCUAAGCACGAAACUUGCCCCGAGAUGAGUUCUCCCUGACCCUUUAAGGGUCCUGAAGGAACGUUGAAGACGACGACGUUGAUAGGCCGGGUGUGUAAGCGCAGCGAUGCGUUGAGCUAACCGGUACUAAUGAACCGUGAGG
rnacentral:rRNA from 1 species